rnacentral:rRNA from 1 species
GAUGAACGCUAGCGGCAGGCUUAAUACAUGCAAGUCGAGGGGCAUCAAGGUACACGAAAGUGUAUUGUUGGCGACCGGCGGACGGGUGAGUAAUAGGUAGGUAACCUACCUCAUACUGAGGCAUAGCUGGGAGAAAUUCCAGGUAAUUCCUCAUGAGGUUAUAUGACACAUGUGAUAUAAUCAAAGGUAUCGCAAGGUACUGGUAUGAGAUGGGCUUACUGACCAUUAGCUAGUUGGUGAGAUAAGAGCUCACCAAGGCGAAGAUGGUUAGGGGUUUUGAGAGAGAGAUCCCCCAAUUGGAACUGAGAUACGGUCCAGACUCCUACGGGAGGCAGCAGCAGGGAAUAUUGGGCAAUGGGCGGAAGCCUGACCCAGCCAUGCCGCGUGAAGGAAGACGGCCUUAUGGGUUGUAAACUUCUUUACUAUGCGACUAACUAGAUUUACGAGAUAAUUCUAUAGAAUGUAGCAUAGACAAAAAGCACC